UCUCAGUGAAGAGACAUUGACGUGUUUACUUUCUACCUUCAACCUAGUUCAAUUGACAAGGUGAANACAAUUUGAGCUGGCUUGGAGAGAAGAGGAAAAUUUGUUCCAGAAGGAAUUGUUUUGGGAU
rnacentral:snoRNA from 1 species